AUGUGUAUGUUGGAGAAUCCAAAUACGGAGAGAGAAGUGGGUGUGUAUCAUUGUGCUGGAGCUGUGGCUCAUCGUUUUGCCGAGAGCAUUCCCAGAGAAAGAGUGGGUUUAAGAGUUGAGUCAUUGCGCAGAGAGAGAGAGAGAGAGCACGCUCCAUUUUAGAGAGAGAAAGUUCAAGAAUUUGAGCUAAUUAAAAUUUAAGGGUCAACUACAAGAGUGAUUCAAGCAUCUAAACACUAUAAGCAAUUGGAGGAUCAACAUUAGAGUUUGCCCCAGAGUCUGUCUCUUUGUCAAGCCACCCAAGAAGUAUCUCUGUGUAGAGGCUUUAUUUUAUUUUGUCAAGCAUGGGUUAAUCUUUGUGUUUUGUUAAAAGUCCUCCGUGUAGUGUGUGAGAUAUGUUAUAAAAUAUGCCUUCGUACGUGAAUGCAUAAAAGUGUGUUAAAAAUGUUUUAAUUAC